UGUGUUUGAGUUUUUGGUUAAUUAUAAAAGAAAUUGUAGCUAGACGAGCUCGACUUCCCUUGAAAAUGAAGCACAGGAUAAGAGAUAUUCUAGAAAGUCUAGAAAACAUGGAAAUUGGAAUCACUUUAGUCGUUUUGAGGUCCGUGGUCCAUGGCCUCGUUCGUCAUCCUGUCAUAAAUUUCCCAUUUGUUUAAAAAGCUGCGUCUCAUGGGCUCCUCGGAGGUAGGAUGUCGCAGUCGUUCCCGGGUUUGGUGAGUGCUUUGUUGCUCUCAUGCUAGUAAAGCGGCCGUGUCUUGGUGAAAGACGCUUCCCCUUCGUUGUUGGCCUGCCACAAGUUAUAGAGAGGUUGGUGCGAUCCAUGUAUUCAUAGUGGAUUUGUGCUACGGAUCACUUUCUUCUUAAUGUUGCCCGCUGGAGUGAAGGAUUUUUAAUAGCCGAUCGAUAUGAAGCGUGUCAUUUUUUUCCUUCAUAUGUACUAUCAAACUAUAAUAAUUUUAGGGGCACGCCUAUCCCAUGGAUCUGCCUUGGACCCUAAGGUAUGUAAUUCUCGUGUAAGAAAUGGAAAUGCUCAUGUUGAUCUGUGGAUAGGAAGUAGGUCUAGGUGACAAAAACUCCUUUCAAGCAUGUCCAUAGAAGUUUCCAUGCAUGCGUUUGUUGGAUUUCUCUUGGACGCUGCCCUUUGAAGCUAUCGACGGAAGUGACAUUGCCCAUUGACAGACUGUUUGGAACUCAAUAAACCCAUCAACCAUAGAAAGAUGAAUGGUCCAUGGUUUGUCUCUUGUCGUUUUUCUUUUCAAGUGAAUUAUAUCAAACACGUGACCGCAACAAGCCAGCCAAAGCUGUGGAAUAAUAAUUAAAAGAAUAUACAAUAAGAAAAAAACUUGGUGCAUAACAAAAUCAACAGCAUCCACGAGUAGUUUUCCUUCUUCGCCUAAAAAAUUGUGCAGUGGGUAUAUGUCCCUAUCCAUGCAGACGUAUGUAUAUAUAUAUAUAUAUAUAUUUAUAUACAUAUAUAAAAUUAAAUAGCAUUACAAAUAGAAUUGAAUACUCGGAUAUGUAUGGAAUAAUUAUUUAUAUAUAUCUAUAUAUUUUUUUACAGAUAUGGAUAGGGAUACGGAUAUUAGUGGGAUGCUCAAAUUUCUAUCUAUAUCUAGAUAGUUUUGGAUACAAAAAUAGAUUUGCACGGAUAUUAUCCGAUCCAGUUUCACCUUUACCAUGAGGUUAAAAAAUGCCACAACAAAUAGAAAUAAACCUCCCAUUAUAUCCUCGCAUUUAUGAAAUGAAAAGAUUUAAAGUUGGUUGAUCGAAUAAUAUCCAGAUAAAAAGCACUUAAACAAUUUCAUAUACUAUCUACAGGAACUACUUAAUUAGCCCCCAUGAUAACAUUCUAAUAUAUUAAAAUUAGAAUUUAUUAUUAGGCUUACUCUCAUUACAAAAUAUACUCAUUUGAAAUAUAUGGUAAUAUUUCAUAUUUUAAUAAUUAUUUUUUAUAAAAAAUUCAAUCCUUUUUCCUCCAACAAAAAUGAAAUGAAUAACUUCAUUUUAUUAUUUAAGAUAUUUUCAAAACUAUUUUGUUUAAAAUAUAUAAAAAUAUCAAUAACUUUAAUAUAUUUCUAUAUUUGUAUAAAUUUUUUCUUACAAGUCCUUUAAAAUAUAGAUAAUUUUAUUUAUUCUGCAAUUAAAGAGUGGUAUAUGGAAAUUUUUAAUAUAUAAAUUUUAUCACUUUAUGUUAUAUAUUUUAUCUAAAUAUAUAAUUUCUGAUAUAAAUCUAGUCAGAUCAGUGAUUGAUAUCAUUGGCCAAAUCGAUCUCAUGCAUCCUUGUUUGGGAUUAGAAUUAAACUCGAUGUUAAUCUAUAUUCUUAUCCAUUAUUUUUAUUUUGUAUCGACUAAUCAUGUCUUCAAAGAUUAUUUUUGUCUUUUGGAUAGAAAAAAAUAAAAAUAUGGUACAAAGAAAUAUCUAUCAAUUUAUCAUAAAUGUGGUUCAAAGUAUAAAGAUGACUUACAAACUAAUAUCUGAUAAUUUAUCAUAAAUAUGGGUCAAAGUGUUAUUUUUUGGUUUUUCUUUAACUACCGCUAAAAUAAUAUUAGAGACUUUCUGAUUUCUUGUAGUGUACACACAAAAAAAAAAGUAAGAUAACUCAGGUAAAUGUAUAGCGAAAAACAAAUACACAAAGUAAGAUGGUUGCAUAUCUAUGAAUCAAGGUGGAAAUGGAAUAAAUCAUAGAAAAUAAUUGUGGCUAAGGGAAGUAGCAGCUCAAUAAAUUAGAUAAAAGAUGAGGAGGAUACAUAUAUUGCUUGAGGCAUGAUAAAAGCCAAAGGUUGUUUGCUUAUUGACAUCUUAAUAAGUGAGGCUAUGAAGGGUCAUGGAAGGAUGUCUGAAUGUUUCAGACAGUUGUACAGAAGCAAUGGCUAGCAAAAUCCCUAUUAUCAUUUGUUGUAUUUUUUUUUUUUUGGAGAAUAUAGUAGGGAUACAGCCACUAGGGCUUAGAAGAGGGGUACCAACCAGCUAAUCUAAAGAUGGUUGGCAAAAUAAUUUUUUCCAAUUUGUUAACAUUUUGAUUUAAAUUGGCAAGUAUUUUAUUGUAACUCUCUUGAAUGAAUGUGUACAUGUGUGGGCAUGCAUGUGUUAGUAUGUACCUUUUUUUGUCCUUUUCUUGAUGGGUGCAAGGGUAGGGGCAAUGUAUGAUCGAUCCAUCAACCAGAUUCAUGAAUGAUGUGCUUUAAGUAGGUUUGGAUUAGACAUGAACAAAUUUGGAUCAUAAACGGGUCAACUCAUCUAGACUUAUUUAUUAAAUGGGUUGGAUUCAGGUUUAAACCUUUAACCCGUUUAAUAAUUAAGUCCCAUCAUAACCUAACCCAUUUAACCUGUUUAAAAUCUAUUGAACCUAUUUAAAACCUGCUUAACCUAUUUUUGUUCUAUUUAACCUGGCCUGUUUAACCUAUUUAAAUCUGUUUAAUCUGUUAAAAAUUCACUUAACCUAUUUAAUCCGUUUAAUUUGACUUGACCUGCUUAUUGAAUGAGUUAUGCAAGUUGGGUCGGAUUACUUGUUACUUUAAUAAAUAGGUCAGAUUUGAGUUGACGAAUUUUUGAUCCGACCCAUAUCCAAUUUGACUUGUAUUCGACCCGGCCCAAUAACCACCCCUAUGCAAGGAUAAAAUCUUACUUUAUUGGAAAUGUUGUAGGGCAGAAGCAUCCAAUUCAUCAUGGCCAUUGCAUUCAUGUGCUUGGUCUUGACAUAACCAACUUUUAAAUAGAUAAAUGAUAUAUGUCAAUGAUUAUGUUUUUUCUGAGGCUUUAUAAAAGUUGAUCAAUCGUCUAAUCCUAAUUCUAUUGAUGAUCAAUACAUUAGAUCACAAAAUAAAAAUGUGCUAAGAUUGCAGGGUAGACUAGAAUCUGGUUGACUGGAUUUAAAGUUAAAUCCAAUUGGUCCCGACUAAAUGAUGGGGGCUUGACAUCGAUGAUUCAAGCCAAUGAAUAUAGUCUGCUACCACUUAACUAUUAUACAUCAAAAAUCAUAUAGUUUGGAAAUCUCUAACCUGUGUAUCAGGUGGUCAAAAAAAUAUGCAUUAUUUCAUUGUAUUUAAACUACUUAAUUUUAAGCACUCGAUAUAUAGGCUAUGAGUUUUUAAACUUUUUUAUUUGUGAGAUAUAAGUAGUUGAGAGAUAAUAGAUCAUAUCCAAUAACUAAGAUUCAUAGUAUUUGGUCAAAGCUAACUAGAUCCGACUUGAAAUCUAGUUAACCAUAUUCUAGUCCAUCUCCAAAGAUUGCUAUUAAAAUUUUAACGUGUACUAAGGAAGCUAAUUUAAUGAAUAAAAGCAUUUGCAAGCUUGUUAGUUGCAAGCCUUGGUCAAUAAUUGUUUUUUGCAAAAGAGGAAAAGAAAAGUUUUUCUCUAAUAGUGUCUAUAUGGAUAACCAAGUUGGCCUGGAGAACAAUAGAAAGUAUAUUAGCAAAAAAAAAAAAACAAUAGAAAGUAUGGCCAUAUUUAUUAGGUAACCAAAGAAGAGAUAAAGGAUAAGGACCAUGGAUAUCCGAAUUCUGGGGAGAACGUUGGCCCGUAAACAGUCAGCCGCCUAGGUUUUUUUUUGGUACAAGUCAGCCGCCUAGUUUGCUACUGGAUUGGUGCCGCUGAUGUGGAGGAAUCAAAGGAUAUAAUUGUUUAGUCUAUGCUGCAUAGAACCAAUAUUUAUCAUCAGUGUUGAUUGCAAUCAUAAUAUUACUGAUGGCUUCUAACAAUAGUGAUGUCAUGAAUCCUAGCAAUAGUGAUGGCAUCGACAACUCAAAAUCACCCUUACACCAAUUAAUGGAAAAGAGAGAUAUUUUUUAAGAAAUAUAUCCAUACUUAAACCUUUGCGUGCGAAGUAUAACCUCUUUGGUUUGUUCAAAAAUUUAGAAUUCUGCAUGUCUAUCAUGUUGAACACGAUCCUAUGCCCUGUCUGCGUAAAACUGAAGGGCAGGCCCAUCAUAUAUAUGCAUCCAAGGAGUUAAAUGUCGGUCCAUUGCUCCCUUCAUUUGUAGAGUGGAAGCCCAGAUGGUUCUCCGAAGACACAUCGAUCUGAAGUUGCCAUUGCUCUCCUUUUCCAAGCAUCUGCCCACCCCGGAGAGUCGUCUUGGUUUAGGUGAAGUGCGCUGACAGCUUCGCUUGGACGGCUGAAACCAACACCGUGGAUGUGAUUGAUAGAGACUGAACUGUGAAGACAUGCAUGUUCUACCAAAAGAGAAAAAAAAAAAGAAGAUAUGUUCCACUUUUUGACUUUUACCGGGAGAUCAUGGCAUUAGGUGACAUCCUGGAAAAUUUAAACACGUCACGAGCCAGAAUCCAGAGGUUCAUCUCCUUGGAAAAAACCAACAGCUUGCUUAUAGUUAAGUCCUAAAUAACAUGACUAAUUCUGUGCUUUGGUUGACUAUUACAUUGUUUCCUAAUGAGAAACUACAUGAUGAUUGAUUAAUGUCGCCUUCCUAAUAAAGUUCCAGGACUUGUAUAAGGAGCAGUUAAAAUAUCCAAAUCGUGCCCUCAAAGAGCUGGACCAAUUCAAUCGUGAAAUUAAAUGAUCUUUAGUACUAUUUCCCCGGCGUGGUGGGUAAGUAGGGUAACCUUAAGCUACGUACAUCUAGUAAGUUUGACAACUUGAAGACGGCACAGGCUGUCGUGGCUGUUUGAUCUACAACCUACUGCAAACUCCAAUUGAAAAAGCCACCAUGAUGAUCAGCGUACUCGCGUAUGAUGCAAUGCAUGCAGUAUACGAAGCCUGAUGGAUAGUCAGCUAUAUUCGGCAAACAUGAAGAUGAGAGCAAUACGUUACCAAGUCAAUGAGCAUGGACAGCCAAGCAACGUCCAAAAUAUGGAGACCAUAUAAUUUACAUAUUUUGGCGUGAAAGAUUGCCUGGGUAGCUAUAAGUUGUUUUAUCUUUUCCUGGGAAAUAGCGUGUUGAUCAGCAUUCGAGGCUCAAUUUUAAGCCAAAAACACAAUGCCAAAGCAAAGCAUGGUCCAUGAAAGGACAUGUAACACUGGAUACUCCCCCAAAGAGGCACUGUAUCGAACAUCUACCUGACAAAUGCAAACGAGCAUCUGCUAGGCCGGCCCAAAAGCAAUACCUGUGGAAAAGCUAAGCCCAAACUGGCCCAGGCGUGUCAAAAUUAUGAGGCUGAAAUGCAGCACCAUUUUUCUUCCGUGACCUGUCCUUUUUCUUUUCAAUUUUUGCCUAUUUUGCUAGCACGCAAAGAUCAAUGGACGCCAGACGGUCAUACAAAAACGUUCCUCAUGCCUUUGUGAAACAAGGGGAAAGGGUCUUCUUCCUUUUUUUUUGAUGAAAGCAACAAGGAGAAAUAUAAGUUUUUUCGAGAAUGAUUGAUUGAACAGUGACAUGCCACAUAACGACCAAGACGAGCUCCGUAACUAGUCUAACCUUUUUGGUAAAAACUAGUCUAACCUUUAGGUAGGAAUAAUUAAACCGAAUACUUCUCCAUUCAGAUCAUAGCAGUCUGUUUUUAUUUGACUGAGACUAUAGUAUCUGGAGUACUUGAAAACUUGAGCCCGUGCCAAAACCUAGAGUAAAUGAGCCCCAGCCAACAGGCAUGAAGCCACACUUUAAUCAUACAGUCAGGCUUGAAAUCAACGUACCGUCCAAGUGGAAUCGUAAUCCAGCCUCCCACGUAGGUAUGUGCAAGUUCUAGGCCUGGUCCGUUGAGUCUCAUCUCCUUGCUCUACCCAUCGUAGAUCAGCUUCAUCCAACCCUUGUUUUUGUAAAAUAAAUAAAGGCUACGCUGCCCGAUCAUGUUUGAUUAAAUUUGGUGUAUGAGUAGCUGACGCAUUAUUUCAGUACUUCAUCCGAAUGAUAAAAUGAUUAAAGGUAAAAAGAAGAUGACUGAUACUUGACAACUUCUAGAAAAAUUGCACCUAAUCAUGUCACCAAUUGCUUAAAUGGAUAUCAUGAAACAUCGCAUCGAUCUAUAGGUGAAUAUCUUCUUGACUUGUAUUUCUUUGCAAUCAAAAGAUUCUUUAUACAUGUCCGUGGUUGAGUGCAUACAAAUUUUUCCGCUUCAUUCCAAAGCCCAUUCCCCACAUCGAAAUCAUUAGCUAGGUACUAUUAAAUUCAGGUUCCGUGACUUGUGAAAAAGCAAAGUUUUGCUGGAAAGCGAGUUGCUCUGACCUUUUUCUAAUUAAUACAAUACAAUCCAGUCUGGGCCGGAUGCUGUAGCAGCAAGAAGGUCACCACCAUCAUACUUGAAGCUACCGAUCAGGCAUUAAUUUUUGUAUUUUUAGAUCCUGCUCGUUAUGCCAGUUUUAGAUUAUUUUUUUUUUUUUUUUGGGUUGGAGCUCAAAGCGCUCACCAUAAGAAAUACUCAAAUGGCAUGUGAAAUGAAUGUACUCGCUAAUAAAACUGGGGGAAGUAUUUCACUGCCUCCUUUUCCAUCAACAAAAGAAAUGAAUGAGCUCGCAGUUUAUCGUGAUCUCCAAUGGUGUAUAGAAAAGAAAACAUUUGCUUAUUGAUAAUCGAUCCAAAUAUUUAUUACAAAGAAUGGACUGUUUAUUUUCUUGUACACUUAGUAGGUAGGAAGCACAAAUCAAUGGAGAAUCUUCAAUAAACAAUAGAAUAAAGACAGAAUAAACUUGUGAGGCGUUUGUCAUUCUCCUAUCCUAUAUUAAUCUUUAUUUUCCAGUUGUCCUCGGUCCCCUCCAGCUUCUUCUUCUAACAAGCGGGAUAAUCCGGAGGUGGUGGGGGGAGGGUGGAUUCAGGGGUGGGUCCAUUCUCCACCUCGAAAGCCGUCGCCAGCCCCAGCAGCAGGUGGGAGUCGAAGUGGCAGUGCAUGAUCCACAUACCUGUACCAUCAAAUGAGAAAAACAUAGACCAGUCAAAUUAACAAAGAAUGCAAUGAGUUAUCGUCUCCAUGAACCAAUGAGGUGGCUGGCGUACCUGGAUUAUUGGCAGUGAAUCGGAUGACAGCCCAACCGCCGGUCGGAACGGCGACGGUGUUCCUCUCCUGUGGAUCCACCAGGUUGUAGCUCUUCUCUGCCGUGGCUCUGUCGUAGUUUCCGAACCCUUGCGCCACCACGAAGAAGUUGAAACUAUGGAUGUGCAUCGGGUGGCUCUCGAUCCCCACUAUCGCCGUGUUCUGCAGCACCAUCUCCACCGUCGUGUUGUACUUGACCUUCUUCACCUUGGUAGACUUGGUCGUGAACGUCAGCGCUGUAUCUGAGUUCACGGAGGCGUUCGUGAAAUCGAAGAACACCGGCGGGUAGUCGGGGAAGUCGUCCGUGUAAACCCCCUCCACACCCUUAUAAUCUGCCUCCAGCAGCGACAUGGCGGUGGGGAACAUGAAGGACGCGUUGUUCAUGCUGGCGGCGAGCGAUUGCGUGAUGCAGUUCACUUGACUCGGCAGGCAAGCAGCAAAGUUCAACCCGACCGUGACGAACAUGUGCUCGUCGACAUGGAGAGGGACGGUGCCGUCCCCCGGCCUGCAGAGACCGGUUAGGCUGGAAUAGAAGCGGAAGGCCAGAUCGUUGUCGAAGAAGGAGGGCAUGGUCGGCAUCACGGGUUGCGAAGAUGGCGAGGCGGAUUUGUAUCGAACGAUGCCCGUGGUUGUUGUGUUAUCGAAGGGUAGAUUCGAGCUGUUAUCCCGGCUGACGUACGCGAGGGCGGCCAUGUAGUAGCGUGCCGGGGUCGCAUCGGCCACCAUGAGGGCAUCGACGGUCUGGCCGGGGGCGAUGACGAUCACAUCGGUCUCGUAGGGCUUGGUGUAGCUAGCAUCCACGGCUACCACGGUGAAGCGGUGCCCGGCGAUCUUGAAGAAGAGCUGGUUAUCGAGUGCAGCGUUGAUGAUCCGGAGCAAGUAGGUCUUUCCCUUCUCCACUUCCAGCUUGUAGGUGUCUGCAAGUCAACAAGAGGGUAUUUUGGUCAUUAACAUACAUGCUCCAUCCUUGUACGCCACUGCAUGGAAUUAAUCCGACUUCAACGUGAACGAGAUAUUUAUAUCUAAGGAAUUGGUAUUCAAGGUCGUGCAGGCCGCACUAUAAAACCUGCAAUGGAGGUGCUAGCUUCUUCCAAUCGGGCUGAUGUAAAUAAAGAAAUUGCCCAUUCCUUUGGUGUUCAUUUUAGUUUUCAGUAUUUCUCGUAUCUACUUUUAGGAAGACAUGCAAUUAUAGAUGCAAUCAUCCAGUUGUAAGGCUAAUUUGUAAUUCGCAAAAGCACCCCCCAUCAGUUAGAUAUAUACAUUCACAUACGAUCGAGACUAAAGUAUCAGCUAUCCUUGCAAUAUAUACUAAGCACUUACCUUCUUUUGAGCAUGGGUACUGGUCACCGGUUUUUCCAUUGAUGGUAAAUGCGUCGGAGUCACUGAGACUGGUGCCGUUAAGAAAGGCUUCUUUGGCCAAGUCAACUACGUUCGCGUUCCACCACUCACCUGUACGUUGAUGUUUUUGGUCAUUCAAAGGUUGUGGAGUUGGUAAAGAGAAAUUAACUAGGGAGCAAGAAAGGUCAGACAUCCAGGCUAAACAACUUCAUUUUUCUUCCGAGAUUAGGUAGAGAGAGAGAGAGAGAGAGAGAGGUAGAAGGAUAUACCGAGUAGGAUGGGUACUUCCUUGUCGGGUUUGGGGAAAGGGUAGCCUUUGGUGCCUUGUCUGGGUCUGAUUAUGAGAGCACCGUAGACUGUUGCUCGGAUGACCGAGGCAUGGGCAUGCCACCACAGAGUGCCCUCUUGGCCGGUAAUGGUGAAUUUCUGGGUGUAGCUGUGCCCUGGUUGUAUCGGGCACUGCGUUAUCAUAUUUGGCCCGUCGGCCCAAGCAGUCAGUAUCUCAAAUAUGCCGUGCCUGCAGUCAUAAUAAUGAGAAUUUUAGACCAGCUGCCUUGCUGAGAUAUAAAUCUUCCGAAAUAGCUAAAAAAAUAAAAAUACAAUACUAUCUUACCAGUGGAUGGUAAUGUUGUAGGGCGAGUCAUUGAUGACAUGAACCACCACCGUAUCGCCCUCGCGGACAUCUAGGGUUGGGCCCGGAAGCCGGCCAUUCACGGCAUUGAUCACUGUGCUCUCGCACAAUCGACUUACCGUGAGGUUGCCAACCUAAACAUGACAACACCGUCAGACUUAAUUAUAGUAGGCCGCAGAAAUCAUCACCGUCAAACUUAGAAAUGUUAAUUUCACGAUAAACAAUGCACCGUCUACAUCAAAACUGACAUCACUAAAUAUCUUUCCUAACUAACUAAAACAAGACUUUGAAAUGGUAUGCUUUUAAUUAGGAGCCGCAUUGUCUGUAAACCCAAGGAUAUAUAUCGGUUGAGUUGAUACAUGCUAUAUCUUGGAUCCAAGAAAAUUCGGACUUACUUAAGUUGGCAACUGGGGAUGAUGAAACUAAAGAAACAUGGCCACAAGGGAGCACCAGCAUGAAGAUACUAUCCUGGAAUUCUAAUUCCUGAACUUUAAUUACAGAUGGUCAAACCGUGCUUUUCCUAUCUCUAGUAUCUGCUUGCAAGAAAAUACUGCAUGGCAUAGUCUACCCGGGGCUGAAAAAAUGUUACACGUGAACUAAAGCAAAGCAACGAUCAAAAUUUUACUUUCUAAAAGAAAGAUUACGUUUGCCAUGCAUAUAUGUGACCUCCACCUAUGAGAAUGUAAUGAUUAUUUUUUUUUAAUCACAAAUAAAAGGGGAACUUUUCAAGGAUUUAUUUGACAAAAUUUGUUAUAGCACCAGAGAACUUAAAACGAAAAAAGAAAAGAUAAGAGAAGAUAAAGGCUAAAUUACUCGGAACGUGCGUUCGACAACUGCAGCAUCUGCCAUGGAUGCGACAAGGGCGAGAGCAAUUCCCAAUAUGAACACCAACCGUGCCAUUUCUAAGAACGAUAGGAAGGAUAGCGAAAAGAUCUGAGGACUGUCUUAUGAGAUGGAGAGGAGUCUGCAAGUGGGAGGUGAAAAUGCCUUCUCUGAGGAGUUGCUACCAAUGCAAAACUAUCGAAGUUGCAUGAAGAGAUUAUUUGGCGAGCGAGGCUCUUAUAUAGAGUUUAUAAUUGUGUCUAGAAGACAUUAAUUUGACCGCGUGGAAGGUGCACCAAAAAUAUGUAGAUUAUUACACGAGGAUGUCUUCGACCUCCGUUUGCGUAAGAGCCCACCUUAACCAGCUUGACGUUAUCUAUCCGACUUGUCCAACACAAGACAGAUUAGCUAAGUUUUAGAUAAUAGCGCAAUGUUCUGCGACCAAGGCAGAGUUCAAUUACUUUAAGAAAAAGGCUUAUGGACUUUUGGCAGCGCUGAAAAUUCUAUCACCGGCUUCCUGGGCGCCUCUUAAACCGACGACCUGCAUGCAGUCUCUGGCUUCUGGAUUCCUUCCAUGGGUUCGUUUUUGUGUUCUUAAUUAACAUUCGAUUCUAUUUCAGUCAAUUCCAAUUUGUAGUUGAUAAGCAGGCAUUUGUUCUUUCCUACCACUACAAUCUACUGGACCUAAUUCGGCAUCAGAAAAAAAAAGAAAAAGGAAAAGAAAACCAUUUCCUAGAAGAAUUGGCAUACCACAUGGCACAGUAGAUUGGAACCAUUUCACAAGUUGGUGCAAGGAUUGGUGACAUAAAGCACCAACCUCGUUGCCGGGUUUUGGUAGGAUUUCUGCAAGUGAGUUUUAGAUGUCUAAAUUAAGUUGUAUCUUCCAAUAGCUCUGUUUCGUCUUUGACUCAACAAAUGCAUCUCAGAAUCUCCAUAUCCAUUAAAAAAUAGGUUUGGGAUCGAUUUAAGAGAAUACCACCUCCCCAAAGUACUUUUUGAACAGUUGGACCUUUCCUUAUGUCGUCACGGUAUUCACGUUCGUUUCUCCGUUGGUUGGAACGCCUUCGUCGUUAGAGGUUUUGGUAAGUGCCUAUUAGCUGUCGCAUGACAUAAUUUGGUUGGGCAAUUUUCUAAAGUCGAAGCUAUUCCCGUGGAUGUGCCUUGGAUCUCAAGGUUCCCACUCUUUGUCUAAGACUUGUAAGAGUUGAUACUUGAUACUGUGCAUUAGGUGGAGACCGUUGUCACAGACGUGUCUUCCUGCCUAUAGUUUCUAGGUGAACUCAAAAACUCAUUAAAGGAAUUAAUUAAAUAUGUGAAGACGAUGUAGAAGUUGAAAUUUCUAAACCAGGGAUAGAAGAAAUAAAGAGUGUCAUAAUGAUAACAUAGAUUACCAUCCCUUCUUGGAGGGAUUUCUUAAGCAGGAUUUAAACAAGUCGCAUAAAAUACGUGUGAGCUAAGAAACAGAUCAACAAGUCAAUCGAUAUAUAGCAAUUCUGAUAGGGAUAGAUAAAUUUCCCAAGAAUAGGUAAAAUUGGCUAAUGUUGGUUAACGCGGUUGCGUGUUGCCGGUAUAGUAAUUGAGGCUUUUACCUUUCGCACAGCUAUUUCUUUUUACGUAUCACACAGCCGACAAACUUGGUCAGAUAGCUAUAUAUCCAUGCUAUAGUUACGUAUCUCAGACGAAAGAGAGAGAUAGUUGGGACUUGCAGGCAUGGUAAACUCCUAGAGCAGUAGCAUUUGACAUCUAUAUGCUUCAUGCCAUGAUGAGGAAGGCCAUGAGAUCAUCUAUACGUAUCUCUAAUCCAAGACUGGAGCAUGCAUGAAUCCGUCAAUCACCACUCUAGACGAAGAGACGAGAGAGAGUUGUCCCGGACUUGGUAAAUUCCUUGAGCAGUAGAAUUUGACAUCUAUAUGCUUCAUGCCAGAUGAGGAAGGCCAUGAGAUCAUCUAUACGUAUCUCUUAUCGAAGACUGGAACGUGCAUGAAUCCAUCAAUCACCACUCUCAACGAAGAGACGAGAGAGAGUUUGGGACUUGGUAAAUUCCUUGACCAGUAGAAUUUGACAUCUAUAUGCUUCAUGCCAGAUGAGGAAGGCCAUGAGGCCAUCUAUACGUAUCUCUGAUCCAAGACUGGAACGUGCAUGAAUCCGUCAAUCACCACUCUCAACGAAGAGUCGUAACUACCAAUUCCAACCCCCCCGCCCUACUGGCUGUUUCACAGGCUUAGGAAAGAGUAGUCUUAAGUAUUUAAGAAAAAUUAGGCUGAAACCGAAUUAGAAACUAAUCUGAUACUAGUAUGUGUCGAAUACAUAUAUAGAUAUGGAUAUUAGUCAUGAUAUCCAUAUUUGUUUUAAAUCGAUACAGCUACAAAUUAGAUAUCAGAAGUAUGGAUAUAAAUACAAAUAUAAAUUAAAUAAUUAAAGUUUAAUUAUGACCAUAGAACUAGAAAUAUUACCAAGUGGAUAGUAAAUAAAGUUAAUAAUAUAUUAAUAUAAUCAUAUUUUUUCUUAAAAAUUCAUAAGUACUACAUAAAAUUAAAUAAGGUUACAAAUAGAAUCAGAUAUUUGAAUACGGAUUGAACAGUUGUCGAUUCACAUCCAUACCUACUUUUUUUUGACGGAUAUGGAUACCGAUAUGGAUAUUAGUUAGAUAUUUAAUUUUUUAUCCAUAUCUGGACUUAUUCAGAUACGAAAAUUGAUCUGAAUAGAUAUUACCUGGUCCACUCUCACCCCUAAGAAAAAUCAAUGGAGUUGUGGAGGAAAAAAAAAGUCCCACAUAGGCCUAGGCAGAAAUUGAAACCAUCCUAUAUGGAGGCAAUAGAUGUUGACUGUUUAAGGACAUAUCUUAUGCUUUGACUUAACCCGGAUUAUGUAAUGAGCUGUUAGGCUACCGCUUUGCAAACUUAUGCAAAAAAAACCAGCAAAUCUGUGAUAUCUUAGGUUGACGCAGCCAAAGUAGGGAAGUAUUGUGAACCAGUCAAAUAAUUAGAAACUGUAAUAAGCUUUUGAACAGGCGGAUCAUAGUAUUGAAAACUUAUUUCUCAAAGAUUUUGUACUUGCUGACUAAUUUUAAUUUUUGUGUUCGUGAUCAACAACUUCUAUUGAUAGGUUAUGUUAAAAUAUAUUUAGCUUCGAAACAUCAUAGUACCUAAGUAGCAGCAAUCUCAUAUUCAUGGCCUUUAGAUCGAAGCUGGCUUGGAUGGAGCUAUGAUCUCUCUAUGACAAUACGUACUCUUGCAAGUUGCUAAUAAUACUAUGCGAUGGAAAAGCAAACUUGGUAGGUUUAGCUUCCUCAGGUGCCUCCAAAAUACGGAGUAGUGCUGUUACAGUGGUUUCCUGUUGUCUAGUUCGGACCAAGACAUUCGCCGAAAUGAAGGAGACUAUGCAGUACCAGUUUCCAGUUAAAAUUUGGGAAUUCAAAAGCUAUAAUUGUUCUCAAAGAAAUGAAGAUCGUGGGCUUGCCCAUCAUCUUGAUCAAAAGGAAAAAAAAAUGUUACAAUUGUUAGGAUGAAUUCUAGGAGCAGAGAUGGCUGCACCCAAACAACUAAUUCUCGUCUGUUAAUAGAAACAUAAAGGGACUCUGAGCACGCCAUACUUCCUACUAGGAAUAGCGAAGGCAUUAGCUGAAGAAAAAGGUACUGGAAAUUCGGCAAGGAACUGUGUUCUUCAUUGGACAGGGCACAUACAAAUACAUGAUUGUAGUAUACAAAAAUCAAAACAAAAGUUGAAUAUUUAAUCAAGAGAGAAAAAAAAACUAAAAUGUAAAACAUCUCCUUAAUGAUUUUAGAGGAUCUCAGACCCCAAAGCCGGCCUCCAAAUUUGAUAUGGAAAAUCUCAUUCAAAUAAGAUAUCCCCUUGUGCAAGACUGAUCUUCUAGUACUUCAGGUGAUCAUGGAAGUUGGCAUAUUUCAAGUGUUUCUGGUCUCCAUCAACAAUCAUCAAACCCCCUCCUUUUCCCAUAUGUAUUUAUGUUUAACUGAUCUUCUCAUUGUUCAACAUUCACCGAGCACAGGAUUCACCUUGUGUCCAUAUUAAUACUUAAUUUCUCCUUUGCCUGUAAGAAAUCAUUUUACCUUUAUUCUGAAUGGACCAAAUAAUGUUCGUUCGAAUCCGUUUUUGUAUUCAAAUAUAUCUGGAUACAUGGAUACAAAUUUUAGUACCCGAAUGAUAGCAUUAUCCACAUCCAUUUCUAUCAAGGAAAGGCAUAUAUGGCUAUGCAUCGACAAUUAUCCAAUUUAUAAUUGAAUAUUCUGUUUGCAAUCCUAUUUAGUUUUAUAUAGCUCUCAUUAACUUCAGAAAAAAAUUAUUUAUCUUCGAUAUGGUUGUCCAUAAAGUUUAACUAUCCAAUUUAUAUAUGUAUUUAUAUGUAUGCAGUGAAUAUCUGAUUUUUAUCUAUUUAAAAUGAAUAUAAAUAUAAACUUUAGCAUCUAAUUAAUAUUCAUAUCCCUAUUCAUAUUCGUUGACUAAAAUAGAUAUAGAUAUACUAGUAUCUCAUCUAAUCCAUUUUCAACCCUUUCUAAGGCUAUGUAUGACCAUGGUAGAUAAAAUUUGCAAGCUAUAUGCAAGUUGCAUCUAGGUGCAUAUGACUCAUUUAGUAUCAGUUAUAGUGAUUUUACUUCUUAAUACCCAUGACAGGCCAACACAAUGUGAUCUAGUAAAACAUUCAUAAAAUUAAAAAUUUUCAACAUGAUACCUCAGCUUCAUCAACUUCGAUGGUAUUGUAAUAACAUCAAAAGAAAUAUGUUGGCUUCGAUCUUUGCUCUGAAACAUGAGGGUAGAGAGAUUUGUUCGGGCUGCGUAGCAUAUUCCACUACAGUCGCUUUGACUUGUAAUUUGUGGGUUAGAUCUCAUUGGUUUCUGUCAGGAAUGGCUUUAUAUUCUCCUGAUUCAUUUUCUUAAUGAAUUUUGAUCUUUACUGCCACAUACAUACAAAGCUCGGGGCAAUCAUGAUGGCAUUAUAGAUGUUGACCAACCAUUCUAUGCACAUGAAUGGGGAAUUGAACCCAAGACCUCCAACUUUGUGUCAUGUUGUUUAUUUAUUUAUUCAUUAAAGGGCUAUACCAUGUUAACUAACUACUAACUCCCAAACUUAAGUUGUUAGAAAAGGGGUCAAUAAUGUAUAUCAAGCCAUAAUAGUAGAUGAUGACACCAUUUUAGGAAUUGAAGCAGGGGAAGGAAGGUUUGCAUGAAAUGUAUUAACCUUAUAGUGAACAUAAAAUCACAAUUUUCCUAUUUGGAAAGAGAUAUAAGUGUGCUCCCAUCAAGCAAAUAAAUAGGAUAUGGAAAUUCUCUAGCCAAAAAAAAGUGGAGGAAGAAAAAGAAGAAGAACAAGGAGGAUAUGGAACCACUGGUUGCUUCAGAUCAUUAGAUAAGUCUUAUAUCCCUCUCUAAGACAUAUCCAUCUGGUAUUGGCACUUUUGUUAGUUUUGGUGAUUGCAUUCUAAGAGAUAGACACUGAAUUGUUAAUAAUUAAGAGAAAUGCUUAACCAUUCCUCCCUCACCAAACCCCCCCUACCCCUCCCUUCCUCCUAGCCAAAACAAUCAGGCAGCAUCCUGGGAAGUUCUCAAUGCAUGCCUGCAAUUCAACUGACUGAUGAGGCCAAUAGGGGGAGUAUUAUAUCAUGCACUUGAUGGAAUAUUAUGAUGUGCUUCCACAUUUAGAUGAUGUAUUGACAAUUGUACUACUUCAUGAUAACAAAUUUGGCACUGAAUUGACUACUCAUGAUAUAUGUUGUUGAUCGGCAAAAUGUUUCAGCAGUUGACCAGUCCAAGAAAUACUCCACCUUGAUACUAAAAUUGCAACUUGCAGUUUUCAAUUCUUUUUUGGCACAACAUGAAUGAGUGUUUACUCCCUGCCGGGCUUUGUUAAAUGAAGUAGGCAAUGUAGACUUGUAGCUGAGCAGCUGCACUAGUUCAAGCCCUGGGUUUUACAAGAAUUGUUCUUCACUGGCUGCCAUAGUGGACUGUCGUUGCUUCUUAGAAAACCAUAGCUUGAAAAUUUGAUAUGCAACAGAGGCAAUAGAAUUUAAAACAAUGAAAUGAAACAGAGACAAUAGAGUGUACACUUGGCAGGAUGUACGUUCUCAUGCAGUAAUAGAAUAUAAUCUUAUGAUUUUGUUAGUUAUGCUGGUCCAACUUAAAUUUUAUAAAAUUUUCAGUCUCGUCGUUCAGUCAUACCCCAAAUAUUUCUUGUUUACUGACGAGGAUGGAUUGCUUUGUUUUGAGAUUUGAUAUUUUAAUCUAGCUUGAGUUAGUAUUGUAGAGAGUCAACUUUAACCAAUGAAUGGUAAACUGUUGCAUAAGGAAGGUUUUUUUAAACCGAGUUUGAUCGUUGAGAUGACUCACACCUCUCAUGCUUCCCUUGUUUUUUAUGUUCCAAGUUUUCUUUUUAUAUCUCAUCAUUCAAUGUCGAGUGAACUAUUUUUUUAUUAAUGCUAGAGCAUGCUCCGCAAUAGUACAAGCAAAAAAAGAAGUAUAUUGCAGAAGACCACGUAUUUAAUACCCAAAAACUAACUCUCUCUCUCUCUCUCUCUCAAGAGAAAAAAAUCACCCAAACACUACUACAGACCUGAGCAAUGACCAGAUACCGAGGGAUGAUCUAAUGAUGCCAUUUGCAGCGACUGUCACGAUGGUUACAGAAAUAUGCAAGGAAAGAAGUUGCUCAUAGUUUGUGGAAAGUUUGCAGGCCUGCUUCGUCCUCUACUUCCUAAGAUUCAGAAAACGACACACUGGUCAGUGAGCGGCAACAUCACAAGCAACUCCCCAGGUGUCGAGUGCAAAGCUACAGCCUGCACAAGCAUUAGAUCAUUUGAACCAUGCGUUGCAGCCAUAAAAUGCAAGGGGACAAACAAAAAGUUGCCUACCAGAGGACAAAACGUUAGGGGCAUUACAUCAAACAGUUGCCUGACGCAUCAUAUGGAGCAUGCGCACGUACACCACCGCCGUCACGGCUGUGGGAAAUUAAUCCGGACGCCUUACUCGUCCAAUUGAAGAGUUUGGCUGGGUCUGACUCGGCCGCGAGACGGACGGGACACUUAUGGUCUUCGUACUAGGACAAAACCCGGCUAUCAAACAGGCUUGGCUGCUGCAGCUCAGGCACGGCCAUUCCUGGCGACAAUACAAAACAUCAUGCGAGAUUCUUCAUUUUUUUCUAUGAUUUAAUUUUUUGAAUAAGGUAACUCGGGUCAUCCAUUUGUCCCUGUGCACGACGGAGACAAGAUUUACCAAAACCAAGUGUCCUCAUCCUCACUGUACUCAGCAGAUUAAUAUCUUAAUAUAUGCAAACUUUGAUUGGUUCCUUUCGCUAAUUUGGCAUUGGGAGUGUGGGCCUACCUAGGCAGAAUCUACAACAAGACUUUCCCCGUCGACCAUUCAAAUGGCGGAACCCAGAAGCCCGGUAACUGGGCCUACCCGGUCCAAUUGGCGGACUAAUUUAUAGAGCUGAUAAUGGGCCAGUUUUGGGCGCAGCAAAUGUGAGAUUUAAAUAGCUAUUUCUCGAGGCCCGGCCCAUGAUCAGCGCUACUCGUUAGCUAUUUGUCGAAAGUUCUCAGGGCAAAACUGGGAUUCGGUUAAAAGGUUCCAGAACAUAGCCGGGUGGUUCUAUAUACACCCCCCCCUAUUGCUCAGGACACCCCCCAAAAACCAAAAAAAAAAUNNNNNNNNNNNNNNNNNNNNNNNNNNNNNNNNNNNNNNNNNNNNNNNNNNNNNNNNNNNNNNNNNNNNNNNNNNNNNNNNNNNNNNNNNNNNNNNNNNNNNNNNNNNNNNNNNNNNNNNNNNNNNNNNNNNNNNNNNNNNNNNNNNNNNNNNNNNNNNNNNNNNNNNNNNNNNNNNNNNNNNNNNNNNNNNNNNNNNNNNNNNNNNNNNNNNNNNNNNNNNNNNNNNNNNNNNNNNNNNNNNNNNNNNNNNNNNNNNNNNNNNNNNNNNNNNNNNNNNNNNNNNNNNNNNNNNNNNNNNNNNNNNNNNNNNNNNNNNNNNNNNNNNNNNNNNNNNNNNNNNNNNNNNNNNNNNNNNNNNNNNNNNNNNNNNNNNNNNNNNNNNNNNNNNNNNNNNNNNNNNNNNNNNNNNNNNNNNNNNNNNNNNNNNNNNNNNNNNNNNNNNNNNNNNNNNNNNNNNNNNNNNNNNNNNNNNNNNNNNNNNNNNNNNNNNNNNNNNNNNNNNNNNNNNNNNNNNNNNNNNNNNNNNNNNNNNNNNNNNNNNNNNNNNNNNNNNNNNNNNNNNNNNNNNNNNNNNNNNNNNNNNNNNNNNNNNNNNNNNNNNNNNNNNNNNNNNNNNNNNNNNNNNNNNNNNNNNNNNNNNNNNUUUGGGGGUGUCCUGAGCAAUAGGGUGGGUGUAUAUAGAACCACCCAACAUAGCCCUAUGAAAACGAACCCCCACCCUGGACCUGCGAGUGCCGAAUUUGCGGUUAGGCGGGUCGGUACGGUUUUGGAGCAGCACCUACCGCCAUGGAGACGGAGCCGGAAACGGCGGCCGACUCCACCCCUCCUCCUCCGCCGCCACCUCCGCUGCUAUCUCCGCCUCCUGCCUCUUCUCCUCCUUGUCCAUCUGCUGUCAUAGAGGAAUCUGCUUCUAAAUCCCCGGCUGCAAAGGGAGGAGCGAAAGAUCCUGGGGCGGCGGCGGCGGGAGGAUCAGCCAGUGGAGGCGGAGGUGGUGGGGGAGCGGCGCCGGCGGAUGACCGAGUGAAGGGACCGUGGUCGCCGGAGGAGGACGCGUUGCUGGGCAAUCUGGUGAAAAAGUUCGGGGCGAGGAACUGGAGUCUGAUCGCACGGGGGAUCCCCGGCCGCUCUGGCAAAUCGUGCCGUCUCCGGUGGUGCAACCAACUCGACCCUUACGUCAAACGCAAGCCCUUCACUGGUACUAUCGUCUAUUUCCUGCCGUUAUUUGCUUGCCUAUCAUAUCUGAACAUAAUCGUUUUAGUCGUGUCUCCCAAUGGUGAUAAUCGGCAUUUGAUUUUUUGGAUAAAAAUGGUGGUAGAGUAGAUUGAAGCCUAAGGCUGUGGGUUUGAAGGGUUUUUCUUAAGACUAUUAUAUUGAUUUUUUAAACAGCUGUAGAUAAGAUGGAAAUGGAAAUGCUCAUGUUCUGUUAGUCUUAUUAGGGUUUUGGCUAUAUUUUAAGAGAUAUGGAUACUUUUGCUUCCCCUGCUUGUGCGCGACAUAUAGAAUGGUGGCGAACCUGUUCAGCCGCGGCUCGUCUGAAACUUGAUGUAGCUCGCAUGAUAGUAGGUUGACUAUUUACAUCAAGAAGAGGAAUAUGAUGUGCCUUUUUAUGUGGAAGACAGAGGAAGAGGCUAUUGGAGUUGAUUUAGGUGUUGCUUCAAGAUUAAUAUGCCUGCUUAUGUUGCUAACCCUAAAGCUUUGUAGUUUACACAUUGUGAAAUUACUUUUCUUUCUGCACACGACUGGGUUUCAUAAAUACUUACGAAGUCACCCAGAGAAAACCAUUUUGUGAAUCACAUGGGGUUAAGGCUGCAUGAAAUGUUACACAAGAUCAGUGAAUGCAGAAUGAAAAAAAUUAGGCUAUUUUGUGGGCUUGUUUCGGGCUUAGGCUUGGUGGUUCUUUGUGUUAGGCCAAGUUCCUGCAGAUCUCAAUGAAGGUUCACCUAGCCCAAGUUGUUAACACCCCUUAACCUGCUUUGACAAUGGUAUCAUCAUCAUUUGCAACCCUUAAAUGAAGGAGACUUCUAUAGUGCAGUUAUCUCUUUGUCCUUUUGAAUUUUUAUCUUGAUAUGAAGCAGAUUAUUUGGUAAUCUAUAGUCAAUGUUGAAUCAUAUUGGCAUCAAUUAAGGUUGUAGAUUCGAUAUUUUAAGUGUUGAUGUUUGAAAGGUAACGACUCAAUGCUCUGAGAGAUGACUGUAAAGAGAAAGGCAUAUUUUCGAGAGUUAGGGAUGGGGAAAAAGUCAAUUUAUCUACUACAUCCUUUCGUUUAGCUUUAACUGAGCAGAGUUGUGCUAAAAGAAACCACAAGGAUGUUUGGGCAUUCGAGAUGUAAAUAUGAAGUAUUGUACCUUCGGGGAAAAAUCAUUUCGUAGGUAGUGGAAUGUAGAUAUUGCGGGAAGUAGACAUUUGAAUUGGCUCUCUGUGCCUCAUGUGAUUUAAGGAUUGGGAUAUAUUGAUAUCUAACUUCAGGUAGGUUAAGCAAGUCACCAAGCUUUCUCUAGUCUUCUUUUGUAAAAUCCAUUGUUACUAGGAAACCAUAUUCCUGCUCGCAUAAUAGUUUCCCCAACAAUCAAAUUAGGAAGUGGUAGCAAUUCUUUUGAAAAAUCAAUCCAAAACCAAUUCUGAAAGAAAGGAAAAUUCUAGGAACUGGGCCCCAAUAAUUGAGCAUUGAAGAUGGACAUAGCAAGGAGAGGAAGGGGGUCUGAAUUAAAGAUUCUCCUCAACGGUCUUAAUAAAAACACCACUUUUUUCUGUGAUACAUUGCAAUCUUUAAUUUGUUUUCUUAUUGCAAGAAAGCAAGUACUAGUAAAAGAGGAUUUUGUUUAUAAAUAUUCAUCAAUUAAAUCUGCAAAUAUUUAAUAAAUUCACCCCAAUUCAAGUACCCUGCGGGAACCUAGUCUUAAAACUUGUCUCUUGGAGUUUCCUUGUGGUUUUAUGCAUUUUCUAAUGCGUUAUCCAUAAUGUUUUUUUUGCUUUCUUUGUUAUCAUGUUCAUAUCUCGCAUUAGGGUCUCUUCUUAACCAUCGGUUCCAAUUUAUUGCCAUGCAUUUUUCCUGCAUCAAAUUCUCCUGAUGGGAACAAGGUGAACUCUCUCUCUCUCUCUCUCUCUCACACACACACACACACACACACACAUAUCAGCUUUGGUGUAGUUUCUUUUAAGUAGAUAUUUCUCUGUUCGUCUAUAGAUAAUCAUGGCGUCACAUUGCUCGAAUGAUGGUAAGUCCUUUAUUGUUUUAUUAAGGUUUAUUAGUUGAAAGAAUUUUAAUUUUUGUUUUUAUAGAAAACUGAGGUUGAAAGAACUUUAACGGACUGUGAGCUAGUCAUUGAUUCUUGUUUGCAGAUAGUAUUGAAUCAAAAAAAAAUAGUGGAUAUUUCCUAGUGUUUCACAAUCUCAGUAAUAUGUUUCCACAAUUCCAUGCCUGAUAUCUUGCGAAAAAUUCUCCUUACUUUCAUAAGGAUUGAAAAAUGAUGUUUCUUUGCAAUGAUUUGUUGAAACAAAGCUGCAGUCACUUUGUAAGUAUUGUACCUAUGGAAGAAGGUUUCAUAUACAUACACACAUGCUAUAUACAUAGGUAGGGAAAGAAAGCUUCAUGACAGAGUUGUAUCACUAUCAAGAAAGGGCCACUGUGCUUGCAUCAUAAACACAUUUUACAUGAACAACGCAUUAAAACUGUGAUAUCUGGUGGCACGUUAAUUAAAGUAUGUUGACAUAAAUUGGUAGUUUAUUAACUUAAAAUAGUGAACUCUUUUUUUCCUUUUUAAAUAAAUAAAAAAGAUUUCACCAUUUUGUACCUUAUAGGCUUAAAUUAUUUGCAGAUUAUAAAGUCUUUUCAAAAGUGGAUUUCAUUCCUAAGUUUAACGGUCUUAUUAGUUCAAGAUUUGAAUUUAUGAUAUAGAUAGGAAACAAUCAUUUUAAAAAGAAAAUGUUUCAGACUUGUGUCUUUAGUCAGUUUAUUUAUUCCAAGAAAAAUUUAAACUUCUAAAGAUGAUUCUCGACAUCAUCAAUAGAAAUUUCUAUAUUUUAUAUUGUCCUCAUGAUACUACCCUUGUUAUUCCAAAGACAUGCUUGUCAAACUCGCAUGUUCAAUUUCCUUUUACCAAUAUUGUCUGUAGGAAAAAGAGAAUUUUUUUUUUGCAAAAUCUCUACUACUUCCGCAAUCUAUUUAUUCCCCCUUUUGUAGACUUUCCAUUUCUACUGCAACAUAAUGGUAGAUCUUUCAAUAAAAAAGUAAGCAUAAUAGGGAUCUCCAAUUGGCCCCACAAAUACCAAGGCUAUUCUAAAAGACACUGAUAAUGCAUCCAAGACUCUCGGUUAACCCAUAACUAAAACUACAUGCUCUGCUAAUUCUAACCCAAAUAGGAUUUCAAAUCAUUGCAAGAAUUUCUCCAUAACUACUCAUGCCAUCUUCCCAAAAUAGUUAUCCUAAUGCUGCUUAUACUCUAAUUAAAGAGCAGAGAACAAAAAAGACACUAGAACUCCUUUGCAGGACUGCGAUGUGAUUGUGGAGUCCUCAAACUAUCCCAAGGUGAUACAGUACUCAUGCAAUCUCCGGUGACCAUCAAAUUGCU
rnacentral:lncRNA from 1 species